UACGAGGGAAACACGCGGUGUUCGGCUUUACUGGGCGUACAGGGAGCGUAGGCGGUUGGAUAAGCCCUCCGUGAAAUCUCCAGGCUUAACCUGGAAAGUGCAGAGGGGACUGUUCAGCUAGAGGAUGGGAGAGGAGCGCGGAAUUCCCGGUGUAGCGGUGAAAUGCGUAGAGAUCGGGAGGAAGGCCGGUGGCGAAGGCGGCGCUCUGGAACAUUUCUAACGCUGAGGCUCGAAAGCGUGGGGAGCAAACAGG
rnacentral:rRNA from 1 species